rnacentral:rRNA from 1 species
CCUACGGGAGGCAGCAGUGGGGGAUAUUGCACAAUGGGGGGAACCCUGAUGCAGCGACGCCGCGUGGGUGAAGGAGUGCUUCGGCAUGUAAAGCCCUAUCGGCAGGGACGAACCAAGACGCUACCUUCCUAAAAAGCCCCGGCUAACUACGUGCCAGAGGACCCGGUAAUACGUAGGGGGCGAGCGUUAUCCGGAUGCACUGGGGGUAAAGGGAGCGUAUACGGCAGUGGAUGCCAGGGGUGAAAGCCCGGGGCCCAACCCCGGGACUGACGUUGGAACUGUGCGGCGAGAGUGCGGGAGGGGAAGGCGGAAUUCCUGGUGUAGCGGUGAAAGGCGUAGAGAUCAGGAGGAACACCGGGGGCGAAGGCGGCCUGCUGGACUGCGACUGACGUUGAGGCUCGAAAGCGUGGGGAGCGAACAGGAUUAGAUACCCGAGUAGUC